rnacentral:rRNA from 1 species
CCCAUGGGCGAGCCUGACGGAGCACGCCGCGUGAGGGAUGAAGGCCUCUGGGCUGUAAACCUCUUUUAUCAAGGAAGAAGAUCUGACGGUACUUGAUGAAUAAGCCACGGCUAAUUCCGUGCCAGCAGCCGCGGUAAUACGGGAGUGGCAAGCGUUAUCCGGAAUUAUUGGGCGUAAAGCGUCCGCAGGCGGCCCUUCAAGUCUGCUGUUAAAAAGUGGAGCUUAACUCCAUCAUGGCAGUGGAAACUGUUGGGCUUGAGUGUGGUAGGGGCAGAGGGAAUUCCCGGUGUAGCGGUGAAAUGCGUAAAUAUCGGGAAGAACACCAGUGGCAAAGGCGCUCUGCUGGGCCAUCACUGACGCUCAUGGACAAAAGCCAGGGGAGCGAAAGGGAUUAAAUACCCCUGUAGUCCUGGCCGUAAACGAUGAACACUAGGUGUCGGGGGAAUCGACCCCCUCGGUGUCGUAGCCAACGCGUUAAGUGUUCCGCCUGGGGAGUACGCACGCAAGUGUGAAACUCAAAGGAAUUGACGGA